AAAGCGUUGCCGCAGGCAACGACCCGAAGGGCGAAGCGCGCAGCGCUGAGUCAUCCUUCCCCCACCACCA
rnacentral:sRNA from 10 species